GCUUGUCUCAAAGAUUAAGCCAUGCAUGUCUUAGUGUAAAUAACUCUUAUGAAACUGCGAAUGGCUCAUUAAAUCAGUUAUCGUUUAUUUGAUGGUCCCUUACUACAUGGAUAACCGUAGUAAUUCUAGAGCUAAUACAUGCACAAAGGCCCGACUCACGAAGGGCUGUAUUUAUUAGAUUUAAAGCCGACAUCUUUUGGUGAUUCAUAAUAACUUUUCGAACCUCAUGCCUUUAUGGUGGAGGUGAUUCAUUCAAAUUUCUGCCCUAUCAACUUUCGAUGGUAGGAUAGAGGCCUACCAUGGAAAGUUGAUAGGGCAGAAAUUUGAAUG
rnacentral:rRNA from 1 species